rnacentral:rRNA from 1 species
UACGUAGGGUGCGAGCGUUGUCCGGAAUUACUGGGCGUAAAGAGCUUGUAGGCGGUUCGUCGCGUCGAUCGUGAAAUCGUGCAGCUCAACUGCGCGUCUGCGGUCGAUACGGGCGGACUAGAGUAUUGCAGGGGAGACUGGAAUUCCUGGUGUAGCGGUGAAAUGCGCAGAUAUCAGGAGGAACACCGGUGGCGAAGGCGGGUCUCUGGGCAAUAACUGACGCUGAGAAGCGAAAGCGUGGGUAGCGAACAGG